GGUUCCGGUAGCCUAGUGGUUAGAGCGUCCGCCUCGGAUGUGAGAGGUUUUGGGUUCGAACCACGGCCAAGUCA